rnacentral:lncRNA from 1 species
ACCCGGGAGGAACCUGCGUGUGAAUGAGACGGCUGUCAGCAAGCCUACACUCAAAGGAUUUACCCGGUGCAGAGAGCUCCAAGAGAACACCAGAGCCCCUGGUAUUCUGGUUCACUUGAAUUUGUCCUCCUGCCUAUUCCAUAUUUUUUUCACACAUAUAAUCAUUUGUUUGCAGUCCGGAAAUAUAAAACCAUUCAAGAAACGGAGGCCCAACUAUUGGCUUCCCGAUUAUUCUACCAACUCUACCAAAUCCUUGUUCUUCGUUGCACAAUUAGCUGUGAAACAGACAGAGGUUACCUACAAUAAGCUGCUGGAAGUUUGUUUUCUUCUUGGUGCGAGGCAAAUUGUUACAGGAUAUCAGGUCACCAGCUCGAACAGACCCUUCUUGCUCUGUCCCAAGGACAAAGAAGAUGGCUGCUGCGUUCCCCUCUGUGAAGAAUUUGCUGGCCUUUGAAAGAAACGGUCAGUAGAAGAUUCACUGGAUAGUGAAAUUCUUUGUGCCUGGGAUGUGUUCAGUCUGCUUUUCUGCUGCACCAGGAAAGAAGGUCCAGUGUCUUAUUUCAUUCUGGAGCUUUUUGAAACUUUUUACUCUGUACUUUAAUUUUGGCAACCUUGGACUGAUGGGGUUUGUAGAUAUUAAUUAUCAAAUUGUUAUUUAUUAGCUGAUAUUCUUUCAAUUCAAUAAAUAUUUUAAAUCCCUUGUGGUGUCUGUUGAACACGUUACCAGGAAACUGAAAUAAUAUCUUCAGUCUUCCUUUUCUUUCCUCCACAAAAUAGAAAGAAGAUAACUAUACAUAGCUGAUAGUUAUUUUCUCUCAGAAAUUCAAAUAUAUUAUUUUUAAGUGCUUCUGUAAAUAUUUGAACUGAAUGCAAUUUAAAAAAUAAAAAUCUAAAGACCAA